GUCGAGAAUCAUUCGCAAUGGGCGCAAGCCUGACGAUGCGACGCCGUGUGAGCGAUGAAGGCCUUCGGGUUGUAAAGCUCUUUCGCUUGGGAACAAGGGAGAAUAACUAACACUUAUUCAACUUGAGGGUACCAGGUAAAGAAGCACCGGCUAACUACGUGCCAGCAGCUGCGGUAAUACGUAGGGUGCAAGCAUUAAUCGGAAUUAUUGGGCGUAAAGGGCGCGUAGGCGGAUAGUCAAGUCGUGUGUGAAAUUUCGGGGCUCAACCUCGAAGCGGCACAGGAAACUCACUAUCUUGAGGGUAGACGGAGAGAACGGAAUUCCACAAGUAGCGGUGAAAUGCGUAGAUAUGUGGAAGAACACCGGUGGCGAAGGCGGUUCUCUAGUUUAUUCCUGACGCUGAGGCGCGAAAGCAAGGGGAGCAAACAGGAUUAGAUACCCCAGUAGUCC
rnacentral:rRNA from 1 species